GACUGUAUCGGAUGGGAUUAGCCAUGUAGUGUGGCCUNCCUGGCUACAGGGACGCAGCUACGCUCAGUACACGUAUCAACUGCCCUGAGACCGAACAAACCGGGNAACUGGGCCUAUCCGCGAUAGAUGACCGCAUCUGGAAGGAGUGUUCGUCGAAAGGCGNNCACGGGUAUGCUCUGUGCGCACCGCUUCAGGAUGGGACUGCGGCCGAUCAGGCUGUUGGCGGGGUAAUGGCCCACCAAACCUGUAACCGGUACGGGCUUUGAGAGAAGGAGCCCGGAGAUGGACACUGAGACAAGGGUCCAGGCCCUACGGGGCGCAUCAGGCGCGAAAACUUCGCAAUGCGCGAAAGCGUGACGAGGCUAGUCCGAGUGCUCCCUGCUAAAGGGAGCUUUUCUCGNGCUGUAAAUAGUNCCGGGGAAUAAGGGGAGGGCAAGUCUGGUGUCACCCU
rnacentral:rRNA from 1 species